GGUGGUGCAUGGUUGUCGUCAGCUCGUGUCGUGAGAUGUUGGGUUAAGUCCCGCAACGAGCGCAACCCUCGUCCUUAUGUUGCCAGCACGUAAUGGUGGGAACUCAUGGGAUACUGCCGGGGUCAACUCGGAGGAAGGUGGGGAUGAGGUCAAAUCAUCAUGCCCCUUAUGUCUUGGGCUUCACGCAUGCUACAAUGGCCGGUACAAUGGGCUGCGAUACCGCAAGGUGGAGCGAAUCCCAAAAAGCCGGUCUCAGUUCGGAUUGAGGUCUGCAACUCGACCUCAUGAAGUCGGAGUCGCGUAGUAAUCGCAGAUCAGCAACGCUGCGGUGAAUACGUUCCCGGGCCUUGUACACACCGCGCCGUCAAGUCAUGAAAGUCGGUAACACCCGAAGCCAGUGGCCUAACCUUUUGGAGGGAGCUGUCGAAGGUGGGAUCGGUGAUUAGGACU
rnacentral:rRNA from 1 species